GUACUUGCUUUGGCAGCACAUAUUAACAUUGGAAAAGCACAGAAAUUAGUAUGGUCCCUGCACAAGAAUGACAGGCAAAUUUGUAAAGCAUUCCAAUUCUUU
ensembl:snRNA U6 U6 spliceosomal RNA